AGCGAACGCUGGCGGCAUGCCUAACACAUGCAAGUCGAACGCACUCUUCAGAGUGAGUGGCGCACGGGUGAGUAACGCGUGGGAACCUGCCCCGAGGUACGGAACAACAGCUGGAAACGGCUGCUAAUACCGUAUGUGUCCUAAGGGAGAAAGAUUUAUCGCCUUGGGAGGGGCCCGCGUCCGAUUAGCUUGUUGGUGAGGUAACGGCUCACCAAGGCUUCGAUCGGUAGCUGGUCUGAGAGGAUGAUCAGCCACACUGGGACUGAGACACGGCCCAGACUCCUACGGGAGGCAGCAGUGGGGAAUAUUGGACAAUGGGGGCAACCCUGAUCCAGCAAUGCCGCGUGUGUGAUGAAGGCCUUAGGGUUGUAAAACACUUUCGCCGGUGACGAUGAUGACGGUAACCGGAUAAGAAGCCCCGGCUAACUCCG
rnacentral:rRNA from 1 species